ensembl:snRNA U1 U1 spliceosomal RNA
AUACUUACCUGGCAGAGGAGACACCAGGGUGGCAGAGGUGGUUUUUCCCAGGGCGAGGUUUAUCCACUAGACUCCGGAUGUGCUGGCCCUUGCGAUUUCCCCAAAUGCGGGAAACUCAGCUGCCUCAUUUGUGGGAGUGGGGGACUGCAUUUUCCCCUG